AGGCUUAGAGACAGCAGACUUACGGGCAGUAGCUUCUUCUGCUUACCCCCUUUCCCUUUUCUAUUUUCUAACCCGAGACUUCUUUCAAAAAUUGCAACAUUGCUUGGCUGCUGCUGAUUCACGACUACGAUAGCAGAGGGAGACGGCGACUUCACGACCUCGGUAGCAGGAAUAGAAAUGCUGAGCACCACGCCAAUAUUACCCCUUCCAGCGCCCCCGUUGGAUGGGAAUCUGGGACCAACACCUUCAGCGCAGGUGGUAGAGGAACCAAAGGAUGAUAACAUGGAGGAAAAUGAAGAGGACAACAAUAAAGCCAAUAAUGUUCCAGCGUCUGUUGCAACACAUACUAGAACCAUUGGUAUCAUUUAUCCGCCUCCAGAUAUUAGGAGUAUUGUCGACAAGACUGCACAGUUUGUGGCGAAGAAUGGUCCAGAAUUUGAGAAGAGGAUUGUUCUAAAUAACGCUGGCAAUGCAAAAUUUAACUUCCUGAAUGCUUCUGAUCCUUACCAUGCCUAUUAUCAGCACCGUUUGGCUGAAGCUCGUGCACAGAAUCAGACUUCUGGAGAGCAGCCUAUUCAACCAGCAGAGCAAGAAGCAGCCCCUGCUCCUCCUACCGCUGAUGGUGCUGAGGCAACUGCUAGGCCUGAUCCGUCAGCUCAGUUUAGACCUGUCAGAAGGGUUCUUGAGCCACCUGAGGCAGAGCAAUAUACUGUUAGACUCCCUGAAGGGAUCACAGGUGAAGAAUUGGAUAUCAUUAAGCUUACAGCACAAUUUGUGGCCAGAAAUGGGAAGUCUUUCUUAACAGGGUUGACGAGCAGGGAGAUUAAUAAUCUGCAGUUUCAUUUUCUAAAGCCUACUCACAGCAUGUUCAUGUUUUUCACUUCACUUGCGGAUGCGUAUUCGAAAGUUCUGAUGCCUCCUAAAGGCUUGACGGAUAAGCUGCGGAAGAGUGCUGUUGACAUGACAACAGUCCUGGAGCGAUGUCUGCAUCGAUUGGAGUGGGAAAAGUCACAGGAGCAGGCUAGGCAGAAAGCUGAAGAUGAGAUAGAACAGGAGAGGUUGCAGAUGGCUAUGAUUGAUUGGCAUGAUUUUGUUGUCGUUGAGACUAUAGAUUUUGCUGAUGAUGAGGAUCAGGAUUUACCCCCACCUAUGACCCUUGAGGAGGUUAUAAGGAGGAGCAAGAUGCCUACAUUGGAGGAAGAAGAGUAUGUUGAGCCCGGAAAAGAGGUGGAAAUGGAGAUGGAUGAAGAAGAGGUGCAGCUAGUGGAAGAAGGUAUGAGAGCUGCGACUCUUCAAGAGAAUGGUGGUGUCAAGAGUGCGGAAACCAUGGCAAUUCCAGAGGAACAGGACCCACCUAUGCGGAUUGUGAAGAACUGGAAGAGGCCUGAAGAGAGGAUCCCCACAGAAAGGGACCCAACUAAGUAUGUUGUCUCUCCUAUAACUGGUGAGCUAAUACCUAUUAAUGAAAUGUCUGAACAUAUGAGGAUCUCUCUCAUCGAUCCGAAGUACAAGGAACAGAAAGACAGGAUGUUUGCGAAGAUUAAGGAGACAACUCUUGCGCAGGAUGAUGAGAUAUCUAGGAACAUUGUUGGACUUGCAAGAACCCGCCCGGAUAUAUUUGGUACUACAGAAGAAGAAGUUUCAAAUGCGGUCAAGGCUGAGAUUGAGAAAAAAAAGGAAGAGCCGAAGCAGGUCAUAUGGGAUGGUCACACAGGUAGCAUUGGUCGCACUGCAAGCCAGGCAAUGUCUCAGAACAUUAAUGCAGAUGAUCAGAAUGAUGCUGCAAAUGAUGGAAGAAACCUUCCUGGUCCGCAGGCUCCUCCACCUCCCAGGCCUGGUUUUCCAUCUGUUAGGCCAUUACCUCCACCUCCUGGGCUUGCGCUGAAUAUUCCUAGGCCUCCUAAUACAGUUCAGUAUUCCACCUCCACCAGUGCUGGGGUUGCUGCUCCGCCUCCACCUCGACCUCCUAUGGUUAACAUGAUUCCUCAGGUUCGGUCCCCACCUCCUCCCAUGCCACAGAUGCUAGGUCAGCAAAAUCUGAUGGUAAAUCGUCCACCAAUGCCUCCAUCAAUGGCCAUGAAUUCGCAUGGCCAUCCUAUUCCACCACCUCCUGGAUCACAGUUUACACCUUUGGGAGCACCUCGACCCUUUGUUCCCCUCCCGAUGUCCCAGCCCGGAAUGUCUAUGGUUCCACCUCCUCCUAUUCCCCAAGGAAUGCCGCCUCCUCCUCCACCAGAAGAAGCCCCUCCUCUACCUGAAGAGCCAGAGCCGAAGAGGCAAAAGCUUGAUGAGUCGGUUCUCAUUCCUGAAGAGCAGUUUUUGGCUCAGCACUCGGGUCCUGCAAGGCUCAAUGUAUCUGUGCCGAAUACCGACGAAGGGAAUCUCAAAGGACAAGUUCUGGAAAUCACAGUGCAAUCUCUGUCUGAAACCAUUGCCAGUCUAAAAGAGAAGAUUUCUGGGGAGGUCCAGCUUCCUGCAAACAAACAAAAGCUGAGUGGAAAGGCUGGUUUUCUCAAGGACAACUUGUCUCUUGCAUACUAUAAUAUUGCAUCUGGAGAAACUCUCAGUCUCUCUCUGAGAGAACGUGGUGGCAGAAAAAGAUGAAUGGAGAGUUAUUUGGCAUGGCCUUGAAAGGACUUAUUUCUGUAGAAGAUGUGCUUGUCGUGGUGGGAGAUACUUGUUGCAAGCACAGCUGCCUCUUUUGUGCUUUACCCCUGUUAAGGGCUGUGAUAUAUGCUGUAUUUGUCGGUUGUUUUAUGAGCUCGAUAGCGAAAGCAGUUCCAUGUGUCAGCAGGAAGUGUCUUAUGCAUUUGGAACGGUAAUUACAUGAAGGUUUAAUGGUGAACAUUUCUUAUUUGUAUAUGGUGAGACCAGUUAGAUCAAUAUAAAUAUCACUUGGUCAGCUUUCCCUUGUGUUAGUUUUGGUACCAAAUUACCUCAAUAUAUUCAUCUGUAGAGUUACAAUUUUAUAGCACAGAGAAAGAAACAACUAGGAAACAAUCUAAGGCAUGGUUUCAGCUUAA